ACAUCAGCAUUAAUGAGCAUGCGCUAGAUCUUUUCAACUCCCCAUCUUGUUCAGAGCAGACGAAAUCCCCUCCCUUCCCUCCCUUAAAUAUUAUGAAAUCGUCAUGGCUUAUAUACUGAUGAAGAAUACUGUGGACUUCGCUGUGUGAAUGUGAUAAUCCUGACUGUUUUGUGUUAGCGCAAUUUUGACAAGUAACCAUUUGCUGAGGGAUACUGUUGUCUCCAGGUCCCCCAGCUCUGAUAUGGUUUGUUUAAUAUUUGUGAAUGCUAUGCUGCCAAAAGCUUACAAGUGGUAAGAUCGGCGCAUAGGGCAUGAACAUGCGAGUGGCAUGUUAACUGUGAAUGUAAUUUGUAAUAAAAAGCCAUGACAGUUCCGCCAA